UGAGCAAUCUGCCCUUCUCUUCGGAAUAAGCGUUGGAAACGACGUCUAAUGCCGAAUACGACCUCCUUUCGCAUGAUCGGAGGUGGAAAGCUCCGGCGGAGAAGGAUGAGCUCGCGGCCUAUCAGCUAGUUGGUGUGGGUAAUGGCCCACAAGGCGACGACGGGUAGCCGGCCUGAGAGGGUGACCGGCCACACGUGGGACUGAGACACGGCCCAGACCUCCGUACGGGGAGG
rnacentral:rRNA from 1 species